rnacentral:rRNA from 1 species
CAGCAGCCGCGGGAAUACAGAGGUCUCAAGCGUUGUUCGGAUUCAUUGGGCGUAAAGGGUGCGUAGGUGGCGGUGUAAGUCUAACGUGAAAUCUCGGGGCUCAACCUCGAAAUUGCGUCGGAUACUGCAUUGCUAGAGGAUUGUAGAGGAGAGUGGAAUUCAUGGUGUAGCAGUGAAAUGCGUAGAUAUCAUGAGGAAGACCAGUUGCGAAGGCGACUCUCUGGGCAAUUCCUGACACUGAGGCACGAAGGCUAGGGGAGCAAACGGGAUUAGAUACCCCGGUAGUCCCUGUCUCUUAUAC